AUUUAUAUAGAUUAUAUAAAUCAUUACAUUUACAUUGUAAAAUUAAUCUAAGUUUUAUAAAUA
rnacentral:tRNA from 1 species